rnacentral:rRNA from 1 species
GAUGAACGCUGGCGGCGUGCCUAAUACAUGCAAGUCGAGCGAACAGACGAAGAGCUUGCUCCUCUGACGUUAGCGGCGGACGGGUGAGUAACACGUGGAUAACCUACCUAUAAGACUGGGAUAACUUCGGGAAACCGGAGCUAAUACCGGAUAACAUGUUGAACCGCAUGGUUCAACAGUGAAAGACGGUCUUGCUGUCACUUAUAGAUGGAUCCGCGCCGCAUUAGCUAGUUGGUAAGGUAACGGCUUACCAAGGCAACGAUGCGUAGCCGACCUGAGAGGGUGAUCGGCCACACUGGAACUGAGACACGGUCCAGACUCCUACGGGAGGCAGCAGUAGGGAAUCUUCCGCAAAGGGCGAAAGCCUGACGGAGCAACGCCGCGUGAGUGAAGAAGGUCUUCGGAUCGUAAAACUCUGUUAUUAGGGAAGAACAAAUGUGUAAGUAACUAUGCACGUCUUGACGGUACCUAAUCAGAAAGCCACGGCUAACUACGUG